rnacentral:lncRNA from 7 species
UCAUAGAGUUAAUAUAUCAAAUGUUUAUUACAAUACUGUUACAAAGAAGAAAAAUACAAGCCACAAACGUGGCCAAAAUAAAAAAACAACCUAGCUAUCCUUACAACCUCAUAUUUUCUCCCCCUUUUGGCAGCAAUUACCGAAAACAGAGAGAGCACAAUACUCAAUAGUCCCUAGGGUCAUCACCACCAUAAUGACCUAAAGGAGGAGGAUAGGAAGGAUAGGGAGGAUAGGAACGGUACUCUGAAAAGAAGGCACGCAUCAAAUCUUCCCCAAUUGACGAUUCUCGAUGGGGCUCAUCAGCAGAAGGAAAACUUGAUGAAGAGGAAAGACUUGAUAUGGAGGACGAG